AGAGUUUGAUCCUGGCUCAGAACGAACGCUGGCGGCAUGCCUAACACAUGCAAGUCGAACGAUGCUUUCGGGCAUAGUGGCGCACGGGUGCGUAACGCGUGGGAAUCUGCCCUUAGGUUCGGAAUAACAGUUAGAAAUGACUGCUAAUACCGGAUGAUGUCGAUAAGACCAAAGAUUUAUCGCCUGAGGAUGAGCCCGCGUAGGAUUAGCUAGUUGGUGUGGUAAAGGCGCACCAAGGCGACGAUCCUUAGCUGGUCUGAGAGGAUGAUCAGCCACACUGGGACUGAGACACGGCCCAGACUCCUACGGGAGGCAGCAGUGGGGAAUAUUGGACAAUGGGCGCAAGCCUGAUCCAGCAAUGCCGCGUGAGUGAUGAAGGCCUUAGGGUUGUAAAGCUCUUUUACCCGGGAUGAUAAUGACAGUACCGGGAGAAUAAGCCCCGGCUAACUCCGUGCCAGCAGCCGCGGUAAUACGGAGGGGGCUAGCGUUGUUCGGAAU
rnacentral:rRNA from 1 species